rnacentral:tRNA from 1 species
GCCCUCGUAGCUCAGUUGGUUAGAGCAGCGGACUUUUAAUCCGAAGGUCGUCGGUUCGAGCCCGACCGGGGGUA